AACAGUUGGAAACGACUGCUAAUACCGAUUGCCGUUACGAAGUUGGCAUCACUAUGUAACGAAAGAAUUUCGGUUCGGGAGAAUCUCGCGGCCUAUCAGCUUGUUGGUGAGGUAACGGCUCACCAAGGCUACGACGGGUAGCUGGUCUGAGAGGAUGAUCAGCCACACUGGGACUGAGACACGGCCCAGACUCCUACGGGAGGCAGCAGUGGGGAACCUUGUGCAAUGGACGAAAGUCUGACACAGCCACGCCGCGUGCGGGAAGAAGGCCUUCGGGUUGUAAACCGCUUUCAGCAGGAACGAAAAUGACGGUACCUGCAGAAGAAGGAGCGGCCAACUACGUGCCAGCAGCCGCGGUGACACGUAGGCUCCAAGCGUUGUCCGGAUUUAUUGGGCGUAAAGAGCUCGUAGGCGGCUCAGCAAGUCGGGUGUGAAAACUCUGGGCUCAACCCAGAGCCUGCACCCGAAACUGCUGUGACCUAGAGUUCAGUA
rnacentral:rRNA from 1 species